UUCCUAAUCUUUUAGAUCGGCCGACUAUUUUUAGCUCGCCUGUGCAUUGGUAGUGCACAUACAGAGAUCUCUCCGGGGAAUAGGUAGGCAGAGGUGGAGGUGGUUAGACCAAGAGAGAGCAAGAGACAGUUAGUAGAGAGAGAGAGAGAGUAAGUAUAGGUCCGCUCUCACGUACGGCCGUGGUCGCGGGGAGGGGCGGCUGCCACCGGUGGUGGUGGACGCAGCACCGGUCGGGGCAACGCACGCGGGGGAGGGGAGGGGAAGGGAAGGGUACUGAGGCCGCACUAGGAGACUAGAGGUACCCUUGGACGCGGCGGGUUUAAGCGGAGUGUACGUACAGCAAGGUAACAUGACCGCCACUAGGUACUAGGUCACGACAACCCGGUGAAAAGGAGGCGGUUGUAGGCGCCACGGCGGUUCGGCCGGGACAAGACAGAGGAGGAGGGAAACCCUCCGGGCACAGGCUGUCAACGUCCGACAGUUGCAACCUACACGGUUUGGAGGUGGGGUAGUCCACCUCUCAAACUAGGGCUCGUCACUACUAAAAUAAAAACGGAGGAGACGAUCCUCCGUCUCCUUGCCUCUCACCGCCGUUCCCGUCGGCGGCCACGCUACUGCUCUUGGGUCCCCACCUGUGUGCCCUCUAACCCACGAGCGCGCUUCGGAGGACGUCGUGCCAGCGGGUGCUCGGGUGGGCCUCGACAGCAGGGGUACUUCCCGCGGCGGGGCGACGUGACCAUUCCUUCGACAGACCUACUUCUUUCCUAGCGCCCGACUUAAGAAUGCUUGUAUCCACACAAAGACAUUUUUACUUAGUAAAAACGUCUAAGUGAAUUUGUUCCUGACGUCCAAUUAAAUAGUUUUUGCCCCCUGAAAAAAUACUUUUGCGGCUGCUACAUGCUGGUCUUCGUCAGCGACCAAAUAAUAAUCCACCUCUAAAUCCGACACGAGCCGGUCUGAUGCACCCUAAGGACCGUACAGACUUCCCACGGUGCGUUUUUACAGGGUCAAGAGUGCAUCCUUGAGCAUCACGCCGCAGAUGUAGUACCAAAUUAACACGGGGCUACCUUCGACAAAAACAUCCCAGGCAACCUACCUGAACCUUAAACUGAUAAAGCAGGCGGCCAAAUUUCCUCCACCUAAACCUAGAAAAUAGCUCAUAGUGCAGCAGGGACAAGUAACACCUCGCGUCGCAUCAGUCAAGAAGCCGACGAUCCCGAAGUCUAUCACGGAGCUCCCGGUCACGCUGAGAGAAUAAAAGCCGCGCCUCACGAUACAGGCCUAGUGAUCGUUCUCACUACUAAGGCAACCCGGGCACGUAAAACUCGAAGUACAUGGGCAUUACCCCAUACCGAACUUUCUAACAUUUGCGGAGGGAGGGAUUAUCUCGCACCAUAGGCGAUGACUUGCUCCAGUGAACCUUGCACUGGAGAAGCCUGGACAUUAAUAGGCCGCACGGCUUGUGGUGUAGAUCACACUAAAAAGGACAUGUCGCGCGAAGGGCUGAUCCCUAAUAAGGAGAUUUCCAACACGACGAAGCGAGUUACGCCAAGGUCAGAUAAAGGUAAAAAACUUCUCAAAGGAGUAUUUACUCCAAGUUAGGCGACAGUGGCAGGUACUCAUGGAACCACUCAGCUUUCGGUAGGUGAUAACCUGAUUCCUGGUUACGCCGACCACGAGCCCGACAAGUCUUAAAUCCAAGCAGUGACCGUAAUUUUCAUUAUCGGCACAGUGAGGUACCCAAAUAACAACGGUGCACCAUCUGAAGCCGUUCCGACGCCUCACAAGCAAAAGCGUAAAAUAAACUACGCUUUCAGAGCUUCUGACAAUUAUGGCAUGACCAUAGGGACCCGACCACGAGACACCGAAGACCCCAAUCCUCCAGAAGCGGUGAAAACCGGUGGACGGCCUCAUAGGUUGUACGAGAUUCCGAUACUCAACCACACCGCGGGAGACGUGACACUUAAAAUGUCCCACGUAACUCGGUAGGGAGGUCAUGCCAAGGUACGGAACAUCUCCCAAAAACGAAAAACCACAAAUUGGGCCCACAGACCGCUAUUACCUGGGAAAAUAAAGCCUGACCCAAAAAUAAGUCCCGGCCUAACAGGGUUUUAAAAUAAAGCCAAAAGGUUCGCGUAAGGUAGCGUAUCAUAAAAGCAUGAUACCUACGGUUCAGCCGUUUCGCACAUAAAGUGCUGCUGAAUACUUUAACGUCUUCUUACUUUAACGCAGAAGGAACGCCGUCAGGAAAUAGGACAAGUACUGAUCCUCCUUAGACCGGAUCAUUACCACAUGACAAAGAAGCCCGAGAAUGGAUUAAAUCCUAUCUAGCGAAUACAAACCCACCCACCCACCUUAACUUAGGUUUUGGAGUGGGUUAGACUCUGAGUCCCCGGUUCCUCAAAGGCUUGAACCUUCAAACCUAAGAAUCUACAAAAGGUGACUUAGAUCGGGUGACGGACUGAGAUCCAAGUCCAGAACUCACUGUAGGAGGGGAGGCGCCCAUAGGCCGAACCUCCCUAGUCCUUACGCCUGUAUCGAUCAGGAAUUCUAUCUACUUCCCAGCGGCGUAACAAGGAGGUGGUGACGUUGCACUACCCACUGGACCCCUCUCAACUAGAGAGAGUCUAGCCCAAAUCCGGGUUAGACUAGCAUCAGACAUCGCUGAGGGUCCCGCCGCUACGCUAGGUUCUCGAGCAAAUCCCUUCUCUCGAGGUAACCUAGAUUGACGAGCCGCUCAAGGCUCAACUGCACUUCUAACGAAAACUACUGGGCUCUUCAGUAGUAACCGCAUCGCCGGCUUGUCCGCCAGUAUUCUUUUGGUGGAUCGGCCUCUCAAACCGGCUGUCGGUUUCGAGGGAAUCGUUGUCACAGCAGAAAUUUCUACCCUACUCCGUAGGAAAGACUACCGCUGCUGUGUCGUUUUGAGAGUUACUUUCGUGGUUACAGCCACAGUUUUGGCCGCCUAGAGCCCAUCCCCUAGGGCUUGACACACAGAUCCGCCUACCAUUGUCCUCUGUUCCCUGUGUUACAAAAAUGGGUCCAAGCACGGGAGAGUUACCUCCAUUUUGGGAUGAGGAUGAACUAAUUAUAACUACUAUACCCAUCAUGUUCUCAUCUAGAUGGUGCUCUAGUUUCUCCGAUUUGGGAUCUUCGAUCGAAUACCAUACUAACAACAAGCAGGAUACCUGAUUUUGGGAAACCAAAUAUAUCUGUGGCCUCUCCCGAUUCCAAUGUGUCUCAGCCAAUGUUACCCUCCUCUAGAUGUAUAGGCAUAACGGUUCGAACGGAAGGUGCGUCUCCUUUCAGGGUAGGCUUGUGCACUGCUUCAGAAGUUAGAACAUAGAAGUAUCAGGUUCUCAGGCCGGUUUCCAAUAUCAGGCCGAUAGGCCUGUGGGGGAAUGGGUCCUGAGGGAGUCGUCCAUACAAUAAUGAUCCCUUGUAUGGUUAUUGCUGAAGGCCCAGAAGAACCUGAAGUAGCCGCCUCUAUACCACCUAAACGGGAACCUACCGUGAGCCCGGUCCUAUACCGAGGUCUAUCAACUGAACGUCUGCCUUACCUCGGUAGCUGAACGGUAAGAACCCCGUGACAGACCGUAUUACAGGUUAAAAGGGUGUUGGUUUUAUCCUUAAAAACGCGACUGUUAGAAGUGCAUGGCCCGACCAGUGCUAUAAAAACUGAACUCACCACCAGAAACUAUGCAGAAGUUACAUAGAUAUUAAAAACUAACGAGGUACGAUAUAAUAGAUGACAAAACCUACAAAUACCCGAAAUAAUAUGUGAAAAUAUAGUAAAAACCCUGAUUGGAUAAUUGGGUCUCGGGUCACGGCCAAAGACAAAAAUGGAACGAAAUCCCAAAGCUUCUUUUCCUUUUAGUUUGCCUCAGGUUAACUGGACUUUGAAGUGCCUUGAGUAAAAACCUUCCUUUCUUCGGGUCUUCUGAACUUCACGUGUAUUCCCUUCGAAACUCCUCCAGUGCUCCAUCCCCCGCGCGGGUGGGGGGAUCCCGCGCGGGAGGUGGGAGCACCCGGGGAGCACCGGGGGGACUGUAUGAAGAAGGCGGAUAUAUAUAGAGGUAUAUGGUCUUUUUGUAGGCCCUCGUGUUAUCUAGUCCUCAAGGUGGCGGUCUUCUGAGGCAUCGGUGGCUUUCGGUUAGAUCUGGGCAAGCCGUGGGACGGCCUCCCCCUUAGGGAGAGGCCACCGGUAGAAGUAGUAGGGCCACGAGAGGUACUGCUCCUCCCUCAUCAAGAAAGAGCCCGACUCCCAUACAUGGUCAUCGAUACACAAACUAGAGAGAGAGAGAGCACAAGAACUCCACUAUGCUAGAACUACAUAGCGCUCGAAACGAUAAUAUCAACCUAGAAUACUACAAAAGAGGGGGAGAUGAGAGAACAUUACUUAACUCAAAAAGGAAACUUCAAUAGAAUAGCCUAACUCAGAAAUUCCUAAACCCUUGUGAACUACAUACAGAACGCACCCUAUGGGCAUCACUGUUACCCCAUAAGAUAACUAGGUGAACUACAUACAAAACCACUAGUUGAACGCCCAAAGCGGGUACUUGGAUACGUAUCCCCAACCGUGUGCAAAAGCAGAACUGAGAGGCUAUCUUUGAAACCCCGUUAGAAACUCCAGGAUACACAACCAACUUAUCUACUUAGACUCUAACACACUACGUAUAGCACAUUAGUAUGGUGCCUAUGAACUCCACUGUAACCUCAUAGAUCCACUGUAAUCCCAAAACCAACUAAACACAGAAUUCCACAAUAAGAUCAUACUUGAGAUCCCGACAAACACUGUGAAUAUCCUUAUCGGGUUGCCUAACUAACCUUUAUUAUUGAAACUCCACCAAAGUAUGGGAUGGUAUUAGAGAAGCAAACAAGAGGCGAUAAUCACCGAAACCUCACUGAGAAACAACGUACAACUCCCUAUCAAUACACUAGGUUGAUAUAAUAAUAACAACUCCCUUAAACGUGAUCGCUUUCAUACUUGGGAUCCGGAAUAAAGGAUCGUAACGUUAUGGCAAAUGCGAGUGAAAAUAGUAAUCAAUGGAACGACAAAAAUAUUAAAUUCUAAUGUGUAUAAAAAUAGAUGAUAGGUAUAUGGUGAAUAUAGUGGGAGAGAAGUGGCUUGAUCACGUGGAUAUGUUAAAUGGUAACAUAACCCACACAACCCCUGUGUUCUCUGAGAAACAAUAAACCAACGUCCCAACGAAUUCUCUCUGGUAGAAGUAGGAUGCGGAGGAUGUCUAACUAUUUGGAAUCCAGUAGGUGAACUCCCUUUAAACGAUGACAGGAUGUUUGGAGACGUGAACCUCCGGGUUGUUGCAGAUGUUCUUCUUCCAACACAUCAUCUGUAGUUCGAGAAAAGACCGCGACAACGGCCCCUCCAAUCGCGAACUUCCAUAUAGAAAUCUAGAACGUUAGCUCAAAAAAUCAAAGAACAAAAUAGUGAUCAAAUCCAAUAUUUUCUUUUUAUAUUUUUUACCUUAACUCAAACAGAGCAUACGAAGUGGAAAAAUUAUAGAAAGCAUUCAUACUACCUUUCCUAUUAACACGAGUUCACGAUCUUCUUCUUUAGAUAUUUUACAAACCAUGAUUUAUAAAUUUACUACUCGUACUAACGUGACAACAAUCAUACUUAAGGAACUAAUAGGUACUACGAUUACUAUACGUUUCGGUGUUCGAACCCCUUCUAUACAAACUACUUCUACUAUAAAAACAGGGGGUUCAGAACUACUCGUUUAAAUAAUACUACUUUCGUACGGAAGAUAAAUACUACUAAUAUAACUACUUUCACCUAAACUUCUCCAGUACUGAAAUAAAACACUACUUAGGUGAUAAGGCUUUCUCCAAGGUUAACUAAUACUCUUGUUUAAACGAUAGAUACUACUAAUAACACUACUAAACAUACGAUAUUUAUUAUUACUAUAAGUACUUUGAACAGUAGUACUAAAAUCAAAAGUUAACCUAAUACGGAAUGUACUAUUAAUAAAACAACUCAAACGAGGGUGAUAAUAAGUACUCUUCUUAAAACGAACACACCUCUCAUUAUUUAAAAGAUACGAACAUCUAGUACUUUUCUUACGAAAUCCACGACCAAUAUAACAACUUAAGUAAGUACUACGAUGACUUUUAAUAAUACUCCCUCCUUAUAUACAAUCAUCUUUAACGUUAUUAUAGUUCAAAGGAGAGAUACACGAAUUUUAAAACUUCAAUACGAACAAAAUGGAAGGAUACGUUCAACUAAUAACAAGGAUUUUCAACAAACGAGUGUUUUAGGGAUACGUAUCCUUCACCCAAUCUGAAUUUACACGAUCAGUAUAAGAAGUACUACGAGAGAAAUACAAUGUUAAGAAUACAAAAUACACUCGUAGCAACUUUAGUAGUACGGAUCGAUCCCCGCAAUUUACUAUCGUGAACAACCCUCCGUUGGGUUAAAAUAAAAUCAAGGAACGAAAAACAAGGACAAAUCAUUAUUUAUUAAGUAGAUCGUAGACAAAUCUACACAAAAAUAAGAAAAUUAAUCACAAACACGGUUCAUCUCGGAAACCUUUCUGAACCCCUUUCAGAACAACUAGUACGACAUUUUUUUGUCUUUGAAAUCGCGAGUGCUCUUAACGACGGUAGAAAUAAACCUUUCACUAUAAAUCAACUAAGAAAAACUUCUACUAAUUAUCUAUUUAAGGUGUCCAGGUCGUUAAAUAAAAUCUUAAAAUACUCAAGGUCUUCAUAUGCAAACUAGGUCUAAUGAUGUCUGACAAGACAAAAACUGUCUAAGACAAAAAGUACACAAUAAAUGAAUAAAACUACUUAGAUACCGAUCAUUUUCUCAAAUAUUUGGUAUCUCUUCAACCUUAUGUCAUCCAAAUUGUGGUUAUACUUAAAUCUUACUCAAGUAAUGUCAUGGAAUACUACCACUAAACGAAAGAAUAUGAUUGCCUCGAAUGCUCAAAAGACAAUUCAAAACACAACACUUCAAAAGUUCAAAACCCAUUUCUAAGCUACCUGAUACCUUAUUCCUCACCGUUCUCGGAUUCGAACCCCUAAGUGUUCCGUGGGGUUCCAUUAUAAGUUCCUAUUGGUUCUCGGAUUCGAACCCUACGGGGCCUUCCGUAGGGGAGAAAGAAGAAGCAAGUAGCCAUUGAAAUGAACCUCGAUAUAAAAAUAAAUGGUGUACUAUACACAAAACGAACCUCACAGUUAAAUAAAACAAUUCUAAACGAAAGACAAUAAAUCUUGUUACAAAGUGUAGAAAAUAAAGUUAUUUUCACCGUAACUAUCGGAAAUGAUACGGAUAAAAUCUUCAGGUGUACAACGACAAACUUUUGUCUUUCAAAUGGCGACAACGUUAUUAAGGGAUCUUUUCAGUCUUACACUAUUUUACAACUUUGGAAAACUUAUAAUUCGAGACUAUUUAAAUGAUGUCACCCUUAAAAUAAAUUAUUAAAAACCUCGAUCCCUUCAUACCUACAACGACGUAAGAAAUGUCUGACAGGACAAAUCCGUCUAACGACAAUACAAACGUAACAAACGUAUACAAACGAAGAAAUUACUAAGAUAAACUUCUAUCUUGAUAAUUUAUACGUCUCCUUAAAUCAUACGUUACAACUUAUUGUUAAAAUCACUAAACAAUGUCAUCUCAUACUAUUCCAAAAACGUUACACAAUAUGAUUGAAUAGAGUGCUCAGGAAUAACUCAAAACACACCUACUUCGAAAACUCUAAAUCCCUCUGGCACGAUACUAUCCUUAAUUCCUCUGUGUUUUCGAGUUCGAACCCCUAAGGGUUCCGUAUGGUUCUAUUAUAAAGUUCUUCAGAGUUCGCAGAUUCGAACCCCUACGGGGCCAACCGUAGGGUGGAAAGAAGAAGUUGUUGAUAGCCAAUCAAAGCCAACUAGGAUUCAAAAACGAAGAAGUGUACUACAAACAGUAAGAAUCUUACUUUAAAAUAAAACGAAAAGGACGACAAACUUAUUUUAUGUUUCUAGACUUUAAUAAUUUACAAUCUCAUAGAAGUGUAUCAACGUAUUAAUAAGCUGAUGAGUAACUAGAAGUGAGUAUAGAAAGCCUUAUCAAACAACAAACGAGAUCAUGAAGUGAAUAUACAAAAUCUCGUACCACCAUCAAAACAAAAUAUAUUUAUCUACUUUAGAGUACUAAGUGAAUAUAAUAAAACUCUCAGAAUUUAUCGUACCAUUAAACGAAUUUAUUAGGAUUAUACGAUCCGUAGGUUCUUAUCAUUUUUGAAAGUGUAUCUCAUAACUUAUGAUUCUCUUCAAACUACGCACUACUAACAAAACUCUAUACCUCCAUUAUUAUAGUUUCAGCACGAUCAACUCAUCAACACUUAAACUCUUUACGAACACAACUUCAAACGUUCAGGGCAUCGUACGUGCAUACCAUUUGCAAUACAUUGUUUAAACUUUGUACUCCACAAUAAACUAACAGGAGGAAUACUCACCGCCAGUUCCUGCUCGCUACCAGAAAAGGAUGGUUAGAUAGGGGGAUCCUCGUACGCGCAUCACGGCUCCAAAAACUACUGAAGAUCUAAAAACAUUAUUCAUACACUCAAUAAAUACUGAUUACAACUCAGGUACCUAAUAUACGUGAGAGUGGGAAGGUAGGAACAAUCGGAGAAACCAUGGCACGUAACGGGAAAGAGUGUAACUCUCAACCACGUCUGAAGCGGCCACGUAGGUUUGGGGCACUAUACUAUGCGAGAAGGUGUGUAUUUGGAGGAAUAUAGAAGGAGUUUUGUCGGUGGUAUGGAUGGAUAAUACCGUAAAGGUAUCGGUAAGGCUCUAUAUAACGGUACGUUGAAAGGUAGUAAGACAAGUAGUACUGUGUAAGUAGGAACAGUAUAACGAAUCGUACUAGUACAUCAACUGUAUCAUAAACGCCGUUUCGGUGGUAAGUAUUAAUAAAGUAUGUACAGUGAGAACCAAGUAACGUAUAGGGCCAUGUGGCGGCCUCCGUAAGUAUGUCUCAGUAUGAAACAAGAUCAUAGCUCAACAUAGUAACUCAACAUUUAUUUAUCUUCACACUACUAGUAGUAAAAGAUCUCGUAACAGGGUACACUCCUUAUUUUUUUCUCUUUCCGGUAUUUUUUUCUCUUCUGGGUUUUUUCUCUCCUUCAGGUAUUUUUUCUCUUCCGGGUUUUUUUAUUUUUUUACUCUCUUUUUUCUCUCUUCCCUGUUACAAUGAUAGGAAACGGUGUGAACACGAAGUUUCAUCGUGGUACUAGAAGUAUCAUCUCUCAGAGAGUACAAUAGUGAAAGUAUAUGAUCACCCUUAAAAAGUAAUAUCUUGAACCGAACAUAUAAGGUUGUUACCCGUAGGAGUUCACGGGAUCCAGAAGCACUCGUUCGUUCAACCUACGUGUGGGUGAUCAAAGAAAACAACUCGAAAGUAUGUAAAUAUCGAGAUCACGUAGGCAACGUACCGUUAGGGAUGAGGAACGUAAUUCUAGUUAGCUACCCGUAGAGGUAUCGGGUAACUAAUCGGAGCAACUACACUCUGAAGGAGGAAAAACAGAAGAGGUGUAUUGGGGGAGUAAUAUAAGAUAAGGUGGAUAUCACGAUACAGGUACCGAGCGCGAGUAUAUAACGCACUUUCAAAUACUCAAACUCUAAUGAUUUCAUACUUUGUUAACGAACCGAACAGUAACCCCAACACGUACUACUCUCGUAAGAACACACUGUUUUUACCUCGUACUGAUUUGAUAUACUAAAACAUCCCUACUUGAAAGAAAGCGGUACAAUAAAACUCUUCUGUACUAACGAAUCAAUCAUACGAACUUCAUAAUAAUAAUAAUACAGUUAUACUUUAAAACAGAACUUAGAAAGCCUAGACUUAUAAGUACGGUGUUAAUUCUUCUUAAUGUAACUUUAAUACGGUUCAUCGUGAGGCGUAGUUUUUAAGACAAAAAUAGUAAAUGGAUGAGUUCCUGCUCGUACUUAAUUCGAACCCCUACCACUAUGUAGAGAUUGCAUAGAUAUUAAAAACUAACGAGGUACGAUAUAAUAGAUGACAAAACCUACAAAUACCCGAAAUAAUAUGUGAAAAUAUAGUAAAAACCCUGAUUGGAUAAUUGGGUCUCGGAUCACGGUCAAAGACAAAAUGGAACAAAAUCCCAAAGCUUCUUUUCCUUUUAGUUUGCCUCAGGUUAACUGGACUUUGAAGUGCCUUGAGUAAAAACCUUCCUUUCUUCGGGUCUUCUGAACUUCACGUACAUUCCCUUCGAAGUUCCUCCGGUGCUCCAUCCCCCCGCACGGGUGGGGGGAUCCCGCGCGGGAGGUGGGAGCACCGGGGGGACUGCAUGAAGAAGGAGGAUAUAUAGAGGUAUAUGGGAUUUUUGUAGGCCCUCGUGUUAUCUAGUCCUCAAGGCGGCGGUCUUCUGAGACAUCGGUGGCUUUCGGUUAGAUCUGGACAAGACCGUGGGACGGCCUCCCCCUUAGGGAGAGGCCACCGGUAGAAGUAGUAGGACCACGAGAGGUACUGUUCCUCCCUCAUCAAGAGGGAGCCCCGACUCCCAUACAUGGUCAUCGAUACAGAAACUAGACAGAGAGAGAGAGAGAGAGAGCACAAGAACUCCACUAUGUUAGAACUACAUAGCGCUCGAAACGAUAAUAUCAACCUAGAAUACUACAAAAGAGGGGGGAGAUGAGAAAACAUUACUUGACUCAAAGGG
rnacentral:rRNA from 1 species